GUCGUCAGCUCGUGUCGUGAGAUGUUGGGUUAAGUCCCGCAACGAGCGCAACCCCUACGUUUAGUUGCUAACAGGUGAAGCUGAGCACUCUAGACGAACUGCCGUUGACAAAACGGAGGAAGGUGGGAUGACGUCAAAUCAUCAUGCCCCUUAUGUUCUGGGCUACACACGUGCUACAAUGGCCGGUACAGACGGAGGCGAAGCCGCGAGGCGGAGCAAAUCCGAAAAAGCCGGUCUCAGUUCGGAUUGCAGGCUGCAAUUCGCCUGCAUGAAGUCGGAAUCGCUAGUAAUCGCAGGUCAGCAUACUGCGGUGAAUACGUUCCCGGGCCUU
rnacentral:rRNA from 1 species